AUUGUGCUUGCACAGAUGACGACCGGCGCACGGGUGCGUAACGCGUAUAGAACCUACCUUUUACAGAGGAAUAGCCUUUAGAAAUGAAGAUUAAUGCCUCAUGGUAUUGUAGACUGGCAUCAGUUUAUAAUUAAAGAUUUAUCGGUAAAAGAUGGCUAUGCGUCCUAUUAGUUAGUUGGUAAGGUAACGGCUUACCAAGACAGCGAUAGGUAGGGGUCCUGAGAGGGAGAUCCCCCACACUGGUACUGAGACACGGACCAGACUCCUACGGGAGGCAGCAGUGAGGAAUAUUGGACAAUGGAGGAGACUCUGAUCCAGCCAUGCCGCGUGUAGGAAGAAUGCCCUAUGGGUUGUAAACUACUUUUAUACAGGAAGAAACACUGGUAUGUAUACCAGCUUGACGGUACUGUAAGAAUAAGGACCGGCUAACUCCGUGCCAGCAGCCGCGGUAAUACGGAGGGUCCGAGCGUUAUCCGGAAUCAUUGGGUUUAAAGGGUCCGCAGGCGGUCGAUUAA
rnacentral:rRNA from 1 species